GUGCUCCUUCAGCAGACAAAUACUAAAAGAGCAAUCGUACAGAGAAGGUUAGCAUGGCAUCUGUGCAAAGGUGGCUUGCAAAUUUGCAAAGGAUUCCAUACUUUU